GCGGGGAUUGCCGAGUGGCCAAAGGCGCAGGAUUUAGGAUCCUGUCUUGAAGAAGUCCGCGGGUUCGAUUCCCGCUUCCCGCA
rnacentral:tRNA from 1 species